rnacentral:rRNA from 1 species
AUUGAACGCUGGCGGCAUGCCUUACACAUGCAAGUCGAACGGUAACAGGUCUUCGGAUGCUGACGAGUGGCGAACGGGUGAGUAAUACAUCGGAACGUGCCCGAUCGUGGGGGAUAACGGAGCGAAAGCUUUGCUAAUACCGCAUACGAUCUCAGGAUGAAAGCAGGGGACCGCAAGGCCUUGCGCUCACGGAGCGGCCGAUGGCAGAUUAGGUAGUUGGUGGGAUAAAAGCUUACCAAGCCGACGAUCUGUAGCUGGUCUGAGAGGACGACCAGCCACACUGGGACUGAGACACGGCCCAGACUCCUACGGGAGGCAGCAGUGGGGAAUUUUGGACAAUGGGCGCAAGCCUGAUCCAGCCAUGCCGCGUGCAGGAUGAAGGCCUUCGGGUUGUAAACUGCUUUUGUACGGAACGAAAAGACUCCUUCUAAUAAAGGGGGUCCAUGACGGUACCGUAAGAAUAAGCACCGGCUAACUACGUGCCAGCCGCCGCGGUAACAC